rnacentral:sRNA from 1 species
UCGAAGGUUCGUGUUCAUCGCAGUUUGAAUAAACGUCAACAGGUGCGACGACAACAUGCCAAGGAGGAGGCAAAGCAGCGACGUGAUCUCCAAAAGUUGAAUAGACAGCAACAGCAGGAAAAACAACGUUUGCAACAAUUGCAGUCCCGUAAACGUUCACCCGAUACUUACGAAGAGAGCUAUCCGGGAUCCGGUGAUGGCGGAGAUGGAGGUGAUGGAGGAGAUGAAACCACUUCGUAUCGUACCGUUUUCAGCAUAAAUGAACCAUUCUUUAGCGAGUACGAGGAUAAAAAUAGUGAAAAAUUCGAAACAUUGCAAAGACAACUUGCCCAAGACUUGCUUUCCUUUUUCCGUGAGGUCUAUGAAUUGGAUGACGAUGAUGUGGAACUGCAUAGCACUCUCUUAGAUGUGGAACGAACCGACG